rnacentral:rRNA from 1 species
AGAGAGUGCAAGCGUUAAUCGGAAUUACUGGGCGUAAAGCGCACGUAGGUGGAUAUUUAAGUCGGAUGUGAAAGCCCUGGGCUUAACCUAGGAAUUGCAUUCGAUACUGGGUAUCUAGAGUAUAGUAGAGGGAAGUGGAAUUUCCGGUGUAGCGGUGAAAUGCGUAGAUAUCGGAAAGAACACCAGUGGCGAAGGCGGCUUCCUGGACUAAUACUGACACUGAGGUGCGAAAGCGUGGGGAGCAAACAGGAUUAGAGACCCUGGUAGUCCACGCCGUCAACGAUGAGAACUAGCUGUUGGAAGGGUUACCUUUAGUAGCGAAGCUAACGCGUUAAGUUCUCCGCCUGGGGAGUACGACCGCAAGGUUA